AACGAACGCUGGCGGCAUGCUUAACACAUGCAAGUCGAACGAGCUGUGGUCUUCGCUCUCCGAUGCUAGUGGGUCACGCGUGAGUAACACGUGGUAAUAUGCCCUUUACUACGGAAUAACCCUGCUAAUCUUUGGCUACUACCGUAUCCGCCCUUCGAGGGAACGAUUUAUCGCUAUAGGAUUAGCCCGCGUCUGUUUAGGUAGGGUGUGUGUUAAUGGCUCUCCUAGCCGACGAUCAGUAGCUGGUCUGAGAGGAUGAUCAGACACACUGGGACUGAGACAGGGCACAGACUCAUACGAGAGGGAGCAGUGGGGAAUAUUGGAAAAGGGGGACAACCCUGAGCGAGACAUGGCGUGGGAGUGAAGAAGGCAUGCGGGUUGAAAAGCUCUUUCGACAGGGAAGAUGAUGACGGUACCUGGAGAAGAAGCCCCGGCAAACUUCGUG
rnacentral:rRNA from 1 species